CCUACGGGAGGCAGCAGUAGGGAAUCUUCGGCAAUGGACGAAAGUCUGACCGAGCAACGCCGCGUGAGUGAAGAAGGUUUUCGGAUCGUAAAACUCUGUUGGUAGAGAAGAACGUUGGUGAGAGUGGAAAGCUCAUCAAGUGACGGUAACUACCCAGAAAGGGACGGCUAACUACGUGCCAGCAGCCGCGGUAAUACGUAGGUCCCGAGCGUUGUCCGGAUUUAUUGGGUUUAAAGGGUGCGCAGGCGGCGUGUCAAGUCAGCGGUAAAAUGUCGGGGCUCAACCCCGGCCGGCCGUUGAAACUGGCGUGCUCGAGUUGGAGAGAAGUAUGCGGAAUUCGUGGUGUAGCGGUGAAAUGCAUAGAUAUCACGAAGAACCCCGAUUGCGAAGGCAGCAUACCGGCUCCACACUGACGCUGAGGCACGAAAGCGUGGGUAUCGAACAGGAUUAGAUACCCCAGUAGUC
rnacentral:rRNA from 1 species